UACGAAGGGGGCUAGCGUUGCUCGGAAUCACUGGGCGUAAAGGGUGCGUAGGCGGCUCUUUAAGUCAGGGGUGAAAUCCUGGAGCUCAACUCCAGAACUUCCUUUGAUACUGAGGAUCUUGAGUUCGGGAGAGGUGAGUGGAACUGCGAGUGUAGAGGUGAAAUUCGUAGAUAUUCGCAAGAACACCAGUGGCGAAGGCGGCUCACUGGCCCGAUACUGACGCUGAGGCACGAAAGCUAGGGGAGCAAACGGG
rnacentral:rRNA from 1 species